CUUUUAUGGACACCCAGCCAACCAGUUAGCUAUAAAGUCCCUCUUGGUGUCUGUUCUCUGCUUGUUUUACCUUUAAAGGGUUAACAGAGCCCCCCAGGUAAAGGAAAGGGAGUGGGCACCUGACCAAAAGAGCCAAUAGGAAGGCUAGAACUGUUUAAAAUGGGGAACCAACUGCCCCUUUGUGUCUGUUGUUCUCUGGGAAAGAGGGGAGCAGUUAUGCUAUGAGACGCUGAAAGCCAGGUAUGAGCAUAGAUCAUACCUAGAACUACUUAUUUGGAACCCCUAAAUGUAUUCUGCUCUGUUAUUCUCUCAGGACAAAUUAAAAUGCAGUGCAGUAAACCAUGGUAACCCACUGUUUAAAUGGACUCUGGCAGCUGUAUGCAAGCUAAGGCAUGAAGGGUACAAUAAAUAAUCUAUUAUGUAUUGAACCAAAGAAUGGGACAGAGAUACCCUUCAAUAGCGAGACCAAAUGGAGAAACAUCUCCAUAUAGAGAGGUCUAUUUGAAGAAACCACCAUCGAAGGAAGAUGUAUGUGACCACAUCCAGGUUAAGAGACCAUUUUUGGUGAUUCAUAAAUGAUCUAUUCAGAUGAUCUGACAGACCAUUUUGGACUCCCAGUAAGUAAAAAGCUUCUAGAUCUAUUGAACUGGCAAUGCCGAGUUCCCAAGCAGAGUUGCUUCGACAGAGUGGAGAAGAGUGGACUCCUCCCUGCGUGUUGAGAUGGAACAUAGCUGCUGUGUUGUCUGUGAGAACUAUGAGAACUGUGGGAACAAGCUAUUUCCUUUGAUCUAUGGCAGAAACACUUGCCACACCAAUCCCACAGCUUUCAGCUCUUGGAUGUUGAUGUCCAUAGAACUUUGCUUUACACACCAUAGACCCUAAGUCUAUAGAGAAUCCUGAUGGUGCUCCCAGACAAGGGCAAAUGCAUCUGUCACUAAUGUGAGCAUCAGUUGUGGGCGGCCAAAGGGAACAUCUAGACAUACAUUAUCCAGAGCUGUCCACCAAUCUAGGGAGGUGAUGAUAUGAGAAGGCACCCUCACCACCGACUCUAGAUGGCGAUGGCUCAGUGGGUAGACUAAGGCCAGCCAGCCUUGUAGAAUUCUGAUGAACAGUCUAGUGUAUUGAACCACAUAAAUGUGGGAGGCCAUAUAUUCCAGGAGCCUCAAACAGUUUUGUGCUGUAGUGACCGGGAGAGCUUUGAGAUCUACAGUGAUUGAAUUGCCUGAAACCUCCAGUCUGGAAGAAAAGCUCUGGCCUGAGUUGACUGGAUCAGAGCUACACAGAAUCAGCCCUUGACAAGCCAGUCAUCCGAGUAAAAGUAAAUUUGGACUCCUGAUCUUUUGAGGAAGGCAGUUACUACUGCCAUAACUUUUGUAAAAACAUUAGGAGCUCCUGACAAGCCAAAUGGUAGUACCACUAAUUAUUUUGAUUUACCAGAAAUCUGAGGUACUUCCUCAGCGCUUGGUGGAUUGCCACAUGGAAGUAGGAAUCUUUUAAGUUGAGCGUGGCAUACCAGUCUCCAGGGAGUGGAUAAGAGAAGUGAAGGUGACCAUGCAAAACUUCACCUUUUUUAAGAAUCUGUUAAGUUGAUGCAGGUCUAAAACUGGUCUGAGACACUUAUACACCCCACUUUCAGGAUCAUGAAAUUGCCGGAAUAAAACCCCUUUCCUCUGAGACAGUGUGGAACCUCCUCUAUAGUCCCCAACCAAAUGAGAAAGUAUACCUCCUGGUGAAGGAGUUCCUGAUGAGAGUGUCCCUGAAGAGAGAUGGGCAGGGAGGGAUAGAAACAAAUUGGUAGAUAUAUGCCACUUCCACAGUGUUCAUGAUCCACUAGUCCAAAGUAAUCCAGGCCAAGGAUUGAAGAAGUGGGACGUUUGCAAACCAUUUGUUGGGGAGAUAGGGCCUGGAAACUUGCAUGGAAUCCUCAAGAGGCUCAUCAAAAUGAUUGUGUGGCACUUCCCACAUAUCUUGGGAAGUCUUAAAGGGCCUGGAGUUGGAGCAGCAAUGGGGGGAGGCGUGUUUCAAUAACCCCUGGACCUCCUUUUUGUCAGGUCCUAUUGAGGAGGUGGCAGCCUGAUUCCCCAAAAGGUCUCUCUCAUUAGCUGCUGUAACAGUUCUGGAGGUGGAUGGGAGUAAAGAUAAUCCAACCCUGGAAAGGGCACAUAGUUCUUGUGCUCUGCCCAUUUGAGGUGGGAGAGAAUGAAGAUAGGCUCUGCCAUAGUGUCUAUGUGGGCUCCAAUAUCAUCUCAUUGAUUGGCAGUGCCACCCUAGAUAGACAUUUUAGUGA